GCAAGGUAGCAGGACCCAUCUUCCCAGGCGCUCACAGCCCGGCGACCCGGGUCCGCCCCAUCGCUAGGAGAGCCAGGCUACCAAGGAGAGCCAAGUUGGGACGCACACAGUCAGAGCCAGAGCACCAGUCUGGGAGAGAGGAUGUUCACAGAGAAGAUCAUACCAUUGGCUGUUGCUGAGAAGUCCCUAAGGAAGGUCACUGGGGAUGUCGAGGACAGAGGGGCAGAGUCUCACAGAAACUAAUAGACAAAGUAGUAAAGACGAUCUGUGGUUGCUGGAAGGGCCCAAAUAGCCAAAGCAGUUCUUGCAGAAAGAACAAAGCCCAGAGGGAUUGCAAUAUGAGACCUCAAAAUGUACUACAGAACCAUGGUGACAGCACCAGCAUGCUACCGGCAACAGACCAAACACGACCAGAUGAAUAGAACAGAGGGCCCCAAGAGAAAGCCAUUCACAUCAAAGAUCCCAAAGCAGUGGGGAAAAGACUUGACAACUGGUGCUGGAGGAACCCGAUGUCCACAGGAGGAAGAACAAAGCUAGGUUCCCUACCACACUGUGCAAAAAUUCGUUUACACUUGAUCAGAGACCUUAAUGUAGGAUCUGAGACUUGGACGCUGCCCUACUUCAUGAUACAGACAGACAAGGAUGUUCUGGAGAGGACCUCAGCAGACUGAGAAAUCAUAGCCCAAAGUGUCAAAUGGGAACGUGUGAAAUUAGAAGUGUCUGGAUUAGCAAAGGAAACAACUAAGUAAACGCAGAAUGGGAGAAGGCCUUUGCCAGCCCUCCAUCUGACAAGGGGAUAGGAUCCAUAAUAUAUAAAGAGUUCAAACAAAUAAACAUAAAAA